rnacentral:rRNA from 1 species
GAUGAACGCUGGCGGCGUGCCUAAUACAUGCCAGUCGAGCGAACGGACGAGAAGCUUGCUUUUCUGAUGUUAGCGGCGGACGUGUGAGUAACACGUGGAUAACCUACCUAUAAGACUGGGAUAACUUCGGGAAACCGGAGCUAAUACCGGAUAAUAUUUUGAACCGCAUGGUUCAAAAGUGAAAGACGGUCUUGCUGUCACUUAUAGAUGGAUCCGCGCUGCAUUAGCUAGUUGGUAAGGUAACGGCUUACCAAGGCAACGAUGCAUAGCCGACCUGAGAGGGUGAUCGGCCACACUGGAACUGAGACACGGUCCAGACUCCUACGGGAGGCAGCAGUAGGGAAUCUUCCGCAAUGGGCGAAAGCCUGACGGAGCAACGCCGCGUGAGUGAUGAAGGUCUUCGGAUCGUAAAACUCUGUUAUUAGGGAAGAACAUAUGUGCAAGUAACUGUGCACAUCUUGACGGUACCUAAUCAGAAAGCCACGGCUAACUACGUG